GACGAACGCUGGCGGCGUGCUUAACACAUGCAAGUCGAACGGAAAGGCCUUGCUUUUGUGGGGUGCUCGAGUGGCGAACGGGUGAGUAACACGUGAGUAACCUGCCCUUGACUUUGGGAUAACUUCAGGAAACUGGGGCUAUACCGGAUAGGAGCUCCUGCUGCAUGGUGGGGGUUGGAAAGUUUCGGCGGUUGGGGAUGGACUCGCGGCUUAUCAGCUUGUUGGUGGGGUAGUGGCUUACCAAGGCUUUGACGGGUAGCCGGCCUGAGAGGGUGACCGGCCACAUUGGGACUGAGAUACGGCCCAGACUCCUACGGGAGGCAGCAGUGGGGAAUAUUGCACAAUGGGCGGAAGCCUGAUGCAGCAACGCCGCGUGCGGGAUGACGGCCUUCGGGUUGUAAACCGCUUUCGCCUGUGACGAAGCGUGAGUGACGGUAAUGGGUAAAGAAGCACCGGCUAACUACGUG
rnacentral:rRNA from 1 species